CUUUAGUCUCGAGACUUUCCUCUCUUUCACCUCUUUUUCUUCUCCUCUUCUCUUUUAUGGACCUUAUCGUCGUCACGAUCUCACCUUCUUGUUCCAAACAAAUUUUUUCCCCUGCUAGCUUAGAAAGUGAAAGAAACUGGAGGUAGGAAGACGAGGCUUUUGUGUCUCAUCUAUGGUGGCGUCUCCCCGAAGUGGAAUCUAGGGCUCGGCGGAAAGAAGGGGAAGUGAAAGGCGGAGGACUUUUGAGUUUUAUUGGCCGAGAGGCUAGGGCACGGUGUGAUUUGGUUCGAUCUCGGUGUGGAAGCUCGGGGAAUCAACUUAUUACGUAGUGGUUUUGUGGUUGUGGGAUUUUGGAAACCUUAGAUUUGGGUCAGGGUUGUGUGGUUGGCUGAUUAAGCUAGGGGCGGGGCUGCCCUUGCGAUUGACUGGGUUUUCAUGCUGUCAAAACCACUGCCUUGGGAUCGGAAGGACUUCUUCAAGGAGAGGAGAGGAAGCACGAGAGGUCGGAGUCUUUAAGUUUGCUGCAAGAUAGAGGACUCGCAUCAGGGUUCUUGGGAGUUUGCUCGUCGGAAUCGGCUGACUUGCACCGUCCUACAGAAGCACGAGAGGUCUGAGUCUUUAGGUUUGCUGCAAGAUAGAGGGACUCGCAUCAAGUUCUUGGGAGUUUGCUCGCCGGGAUCGGUAGACUUUCGCCCCCCUACAGGGACACUUUUCUUUGCCAUGAGCAAUGUUGGGAUAAAGCGUCCCUGUGAGUGUACCAUUGCCCAUGAUAUAUCACUGGAAAAUGUUUCAAGAAUGCAUGAGCUUUCGGAAGCCUUCCAUGCUAUUUCCUUAAGACACACAUGCCUCUUGUCUAUCUUGGAGUAGUUUAGUAAACUGAGUUCUAGGGCCGGGUAUGUGAUGCUUUCUCUCUCUCUAUAUAUCUAUUUAUAACUGCCAUUUCUACUAAUAACUUACUAAGGAAGAAGUUGGAAAUACUUUUGGAGUUGUGGGAAGUCUCAAUGGAGGCAAUUGCCUGGAAGCCUAAAUAUUUGUCUUACAAAAAUCUUUAGCCAGCUUUUGAUAUAUGAAUUAAUAUAAUUCAAUACAAAUGAUUCACAUGUGUACUAUUGUCCACUCUAAAUGAAUACCCAACUAACCGAAGCAAAAGGAGGUUAGCGCAAUGCAAGAAAAAAAAAACUAUUUUUAAGUUCAUUGGUCAUUUUAGCUCAACAUUGGUCUAUCACUGGUAGAAACAUGCCUCCGAAAAUCAUGAUUUUCCAUUGUUAAAAAAAGCCUAACCCACAUAAUUCGAGGCUAUAAUACAACUGACAUUUGAUUCUUGAUCUCUAGCUAAAUAUAUUGUACAAAAAGUGGUAAAAAAUAAGGCUGCAGGUUGCUUUCAGAAAAUUGGCUGCAGGUUAUACAUGCUUCAUCAUGUACUAGAAAAUAAGGCACUAGUAACAUAAUGGUACACUCCGCUCAAUUUCUUUUUGUUUUUUUAAAAUAGAUACUUCUAUUUUUAUUUUUGUUGUUAUCAUGAAAUGUAGGUUACUUACUUUUUAACUUUGGGUAUAAAUAUACAAAAGGAAAUCUAUAAGUUGUAUCUAAUCUUACAGAACUGUAAUUUAACUAAUACAUCAUUAUUGGGAUUGUCUUAAUUUUCUGUUUUUUUUCCUUUCUCUGUUUGAGAACAAGGCUAAAGGUCAUUCUGUCCAUGAUCUUGUUGAGAUAGUUGCCCACCUAUCUUCAUACUUGAAGCAUGCUUGACCUAAGUCACAUGGAAAAAAAUCAGGACAAUAAACCUGGAUUCUAACACUUCCUCAAUCCAAUAAAAAAUGAGAGCUUCUCUAAUUGGCUCUAUCAUGUUACUCUGCAUGCCAAUAAAGUUUCUGCUUUCCCUUUUGAUUAGUUACAGAAAAUAAUAAUAAUAAUAAUAAUAAUAAAAUUAAUUGUAGGGAUGGUUCUAUCAUUGAAUCUUUCUGGUUCCAGCUAAACACAUACCACAACUACCAUGGAUUUAGAAAACCAUUAGGAUUGGAGAGGUGGCAGAGCUGCCUCCUUCAACAUUAUACCCAACAGCACUGGUGCUGCAAAGGUAUUAAAAGGACCUGUAUCCAUGGAUUCAAAACCAAUAUGUUGGGUUGUCAUGAGCCACAUUCAGUUGAUGCACUACAGCCGAAUCUAUGAUUCUGUCUUCUCUAGUUGAUUUUCUUUGCUGGGAAAGGCAAAGGAAUUAUUCUGCAAAUACCACAUUCUAAUAGAAUGGAUGUAGAGCAUAUGGAAGGGUGGGAUUUAAUUAUAUUGUUGAUCAAAAUAUAAAUGUCUUUCUUCUUAUAAAGAUUAAUAUUUUUUUCCAACAACCAAGGGUGUUUGAUUUUUUUUUUUCCUUAAUUCAUAUCAAUCCCAAUUGAAAGGCACGAUGAGUACAGAAGAAACUCAAAUUUUAUAAAGGAAUUCAUUUUCCUUGGUGGAUGUUUUCCUUCAUUCAUUAGAGUAACAAUGGCCAUACUGUUGCAUCAAGACACUGGUAAAAGCUAAUACAAUGAUUUGGAAUUAAUCAUCUUUCUUCCACUUUCUGAAAAAAUUAAUCUAAGAGAGUUGUGUAAAUGCAGUGUGGAGCAUCUGGAAAACAUAAGAAUACAUUAUCACCAGACACUCAAACGUUGUAGAGCCAACUCUAUUUUAGUAAUCCAAUGUGUCUGACAGGCAACCGGCUUAAUGGAAAUAUUCCAGAUGGAAUCAAGGGAAGGCAGAGCCGCACGAACUUGUUCAGAAGCUUUUCUGAGGAGGGGAACUUAGAACUUGGUGGGUGCCUGGAAAACUAUCCUUGUCAAAAAGGUGAGUACAUAAAAUGUGAGGUGAAUUUCUCAGUUAUUUUAUCCUAGAUGAUUGAGACUUAUCUUUGGUAUUGAAAUGAAAUUAUAUCAUCUCAUCAAGGACAUAAAAUUUAGUUUUAUUUAUUUAUAUAUUUAUAUAUUUAUUUAUGUUUAAUAUAACCGAUCACCAUCUAUAACUUUUCUGUUUUCUUAAGAUCGUUAUUCAUUGCAUAUAAAUUGUGGUGGAGAGAAAUCUACUGUUGGAAAUGUUGUUUAUGAAGGGGAUCAAUAUGAAGGAGGUGCAACAAAAUUUCAUCCUAUGAUUGAUUAUUGGGGAUUUAGUAGCACUGGACACUUCUGGGAUCAUAACAAAACCAUAAAUGAUUACAUAGCACAAAAUGUAUCCGUACUUGGAAUGAACCACUCUGGGUUGUACACCAGAGCACGACUUUCUCCUCUAUCUUUUACUUACUAUGGGCGCUGCUUAGCAAAUGGGAACUAUACAGUAAAAAUUCACUUUGCAGAGAUUGUUCUGCUAUGACAAAUAAUUAUAAAGUUAUUCUGUUAAAUUAUGAAAUCAAUAGUUUUGUAACCUCAGUCAGUUAUUUAACAACUUCAUGAAAACCAGCUCAAUUCCUCUAUUUUAUUUUAUUUUUCUAACCAAUUUACUCCCUGAUAUCUGCAAUGCUAAAGAAAUCUUUUUAUAGAAAACAUCAAUUGAAUGGAAUUGUGUGCUAAGCAUAGCAUUCAAGCUAACACUGUUGUUUUUAUUUUUGAUAUAUUUCAAGCCUCUUUCUAAUGGCAAAAAGAAGAUACUCAUUGCAGUUCUAGUUUCAGUAUUGGUUUUCAUUUUCACAAUUUUGGGCCUUAUUUUCUGGAAAUGUUACUUUGGAUAGAGAACAUCAAGUGAACAAGGUAAUGUAAAUCUAUGACACAAGCUUUGGUGUGACCAUGUGAGAAGGAUCAUAAAUAUGUUUCCCAACUAUUGCAGGAAGUAGGAAGAAUUUGUGGCAACUUGAAUAUAAUUAUAAGUAGCCUAUAGACUCAAACUGGCCAUGACCUAAAUAAAAAAUAAUCAUCUAGAAAACAUAAGAAUACAUUAUCACUUGACACUCAAACGUUGGAGGAAAAAUUUCUUGGACAAUGAGAGGUAAGAAGCAUAAACUCUGCACCAAAAGAUGUAUUAUGUGCAGCAACUAGUUGAAUCAAGAAGCCUUCCUCUUCCAGUAAACAGGUUUUUUGGGAUAUAUAUUACCAAAAUGAAAUAUUUGAUUAAAAGGAUUUUGAGCACAUGCCCUUGGAAGAAGACAAAUCAAAACCUAGCAUCAGACAUUAUUUUCAAGUUAUUUCAUAUUUAUAGCUUGUUGGGUAUUAUAAAUGAAAAGGUUUGCAAUUGGUUUGGUGGAGUCACAUGUAUUGUUUAUACUAUUGUUUUAAUUCUAUUUUCAUCUAUCAUGUGCUAAUAUGGCAACUUAUUAUCAUGUCAGGUUUUAAUGCAUGACUUCAUUAUAAGAUAUAAUGUCAUGGCACCUACGCUUGGACUAGUCUCUUAUUUACCCAUAUUGGAGACAUACUUCAUUAAUAACCUAGCAAGUGUAAGGAGUUUGCAACUGGAGCUCAAGUCUCGCAUUGAGGAGUUUGAGAAGCUUGACAAAUUCCAUAUGGAACAAAUGGAAGAAGAGGUUAUCGCAAGAAAUGCCCACAUACAUCAACAAAAAGUUGGUAGUUUGGAAUGUUUUAUGGUAGCUAAGAGCAGUGCAGAAGAAUUUUCAAAAACUGAUAUUGUUGAAGGAAACAUAAUGGUAUGCUGCUGCUGAUAAUGUUAUUGUUGCUAUUUAUGCUACUCAUCCAACUCCUAUGGAGAAAUAUGGAAGUUGUGGUUGAAAAGGUUUGCAAUAGGUUUGGUGGAGUCACAUGUAUUGUUUAUAUUAUUGUUUUAAUUCUAUUUUCAUCUAUCAUGUGCUAAUAUGACAACUUAUUAUCAUGUCAGAUUUUAAUGCAUGACUUCAUUAUAAGAUAUAAUGUCAUGACACCUACGCUUGGACUAGUCUCUUAUUUACCCAUAUUGGAGACAUACUUCAUUAAUAACCUAGCAAGGUAUUAAGUUGUUCUUGCAUUACCUCAUUUGCAAUUUAUUUUUUUAAUAAUUGGUGUAUUUUUUUCACGCUAACGAAAACCAGAGGAAGGAGUUUGCAACUGGAACUCAAGUCUCGCAUUGAGGAGUUUGAGAAGCUUGACAAAUUCCAUAUGGAACAAAUAGAAGAAGAGGUUACUGCAAGAAAUGCCCACAUACAUCAACAAAAAGUUGGUAGCUUGGAAUGUUUUAUGGUAGCUAAGAGCAAUGCAGAAGAAUUUUCAAAAACUGAUAUUGUUGAAGCAUGGACACAUUGAAGAGACAUCUUCCUAUUUCUGGACUAGAGGGACUUCAUGAGCUAAGGAAAAUUGUUGAAAGGUUUGAGGAAAAGAUUUAUUCUACUGCCACAAGCCAGGUAUAUCCAUCAUGCUAGUAUUUACUCAACCAUUCCUCAAGACCUAUGAACAUUUUUUGUAUCCAUCCUUAGUGUAAAAGAUUAAAGUGCAAAACUUGAUAUUAUCUUAUCUUACUUUGUCUUUAAUAAUUUGAUGAAUUGAUAUAUUUUUAUUUUUACUUCUAAUUCAGUCCGAUUACUUUUGAAAAAUAUCUUUGAAGAUGUUGACAAUGGAAACAAAAUCUUUUAAUGCUACAACCAAUUCUCUACCAUCCAACUCUGUUGGUCACAACAAAAAAUCCCCUAAUGACAAGAAAUCCCCUGCUAGGAAAAAGACCCUCAGAUCCAGGUAACAACAUGAAGAAGUAAUGUGUUUUUUUUUAUGAAAUGCAACAAUCAAAAUUUUGCUUCUAUGAACUGCAACAGUGGAAAUUUUGCAUUUUAUGAAAUGCAAUGGUGGAAAUUUUGCUUUUUAUGAAAUGCCACAAUAGAAGUUUAGCUAA